UUCCAUUUCCAGGAGCCCUAGAUUCCUCCCUCUCCACAGCCAAGGGCUUCUCGGUGGGAGCGAUCGCAGCGGCCCAGCGGCACGGCAUUCCUUUCUCGCUCGAGCUCCAUGCUAACCGCGCUCGCAAUGCGCGAAUUCUUGGCUAGGGUCUCGAAAUGUAACUCUAUGCGUGGCAUUGAUCUCGCGUGCCAUACCAGCGCUGUCAUCUGCCUAUGCGUGGGAAGUUAUCGCUCCGCGAAUGCGCCAAAUCCGAGAUGUAUGGGAGAUGGAUAUCUGUGCCACCGAGAUUUUCCAGUUUAACUUCGUUUCUGGUGGUGGUGGCUUCUUCCUUGGCACUGCAGUGGUUUCUUGCGGAUCUGUAGCGUGGAUUUUGUUCAUGAACAGUCUACUCCAGGUACUUGGAAAAAUCUGUUUAAAACAUGGCCCAGGUUUGUCUUUGGCCGGCUCUUCUCAUGUUUUUCUGGAUACAGCCUUGCCUCCAGCGAGGCCGGAACCAAGCAAAUCGCCAAAGAUUUUUGCUGUGGAAGAUGGACGAAUCGUUCUCAUCGGGCGGCUUGUCUCCAACGUGCCAGCUGCGCUUUACACUUAGCUUGUCCAUCAGUGCGGCGCAGAAGCGGUGAUGGAGUAUCUAGGCAAAGAAGUGGCAGAAAAGAGCGUGGAAAGCAUUGCCUUCGUGACGCAAUGCCCAUGCUAGCUCGUUGCUGCACAAGAUUCCUGGAUUUGGCCAGGAGGAUCCAUGAAAGAUCCGCUCGCGACACUCUCCCUCAUGUUUGGCAACGAGAGCUUGCCCAGUCGCAUCGUCUCUUUUGACUCUCACGCUCGCACAAGGUGAAUUCCAUGCUCCUUUUCCUGCUGAUGGAUCUUUGCAUGUUUGUCACAAGUGCCUCAACGAUUCGCCGACCUGGACAAGCCUAUCAACGAGUCCUUGUAUACAUCUUUGAACUGGCGCACUUUUGUUUCACUUGAGCAAGUGGACCGGCAAUCAAUCGGGCCGCCGACUUUUUCAUUCUUUAUAAACGACGAACAAGAAAGCCAGUGGCCAGGCCA